UUUGAUCAUGGCUCAGAAUGAACGCUGGCGGCGUGCUUUACACAUGCAAGUCGAGCGAGGCGGGUAGCAAUACCCAGUCGAGCGGCGAACGGGUGAGUAACGCGUGGAUUAUCUACCCUGAGGUGGGGGAUAACCCGGCGAAAGCCGGGCUAAUACCGCAUAACAUCGAAAGAUCAAAGGGGGAGCAAUCUCCCGCCAUUGGAGGAGUCCGCGUCCGAUUAGCUAGUUGGUAGGGUAAUGGCCUACCAAGGCGACGAUCGGUAGCCGGCCUGAGAGGGUGAUCGGCCACACUGGAACUGAGACACGGUCCAGACUCCUACGGGAGGCAGCAGUGGGGAAUUUUGCGCAAUGGGCGAAAGCCUGACGCAGCAACGCCGCGUGGAGGAUGACGGUCCUUGGAUCGUAAACUCCUGUCAGCAGGGAAAAAGGGGACCGGGCUCAUACCCCGGUUCAUUGAUUGUACCUGCAGAGGAAGCCCCGGCUAACUCUGUGCCAGCAGCCGCGGUAAUACAGAGGGGGCAAGCGUUAUUCGGAAUUAUUGGGCGUAAAGGGCGCGUAGGCGGCUCGACAAGUGGAAGGUGAAAUCCCUCGGCUUAACCGAGGAACUGCCCUCCAAACUGUUUUGCUUGAGGCCGGGAGAGGUGAGUGGAAUUCCCAGUGUAGCGGUGAAAUGCGUAGAUAUUGGGAGGAACACCAGUGGCGAAGGCGGC
rnacentral:rRNA from 1 species